rnacentral:miRNA from 2 species
AUUAUAUAAUUUUCUUGAGAUAUUGCUCAAAUUAAGUAUGCCAUUUUGUUUUCUGAUGGUUAUUGGAUAAUUCUUUUUUUUCAUUAGGCAGAUACUUGAAUUGGCUUUUUAUUUUUUACUCGAGAAUUGACAUUUUCGGAGAAACUUGCUAAU